UGCCGUUCGCGAGUUUUUAGAGCAUAGUUUUUCUCCGAGUUGUAUUGCUUUUCCCGAAGGGGUCGAAUAGCUGCCCUGGUUAGUGGCGAGGUUUGGCGCAGUCGCUGGCUGUGCAUGGUGACGGCGUUUCGGGCUUAUUUAGCUCUCGAUCAGUCUGGAUUGUGUGGCAGCGCACGGAUAUUCGCACAAAUGCAUGCAAUUCAUGUCCAGGGAGAGGUCUCUGAGUUAGCUGUCUCUCGCUGGAGACUAACCUGUGCCAGGGAGCCUGGGCUUGUGUAUCACUACGUGUUGCAACACAGGUCCUGUUUGGGUACAUUUGAUCUCCUUGAGCCUUUGGGCAGAGUCGUGAGUGAUGGGAUAUUUGAUCUGAGUGGAUUUUGUGAGCCAUAGUACAAAGUCCCUAGGAUGUGUGUGCCUGUAUUCUGGGGUGUGCAUUUUUGGAGCUCUCUGGCCUUUCAGUCCCUGGGUGUGAGAUCCCUUUGUAGGCGUGUGCACCUGAGAUUGUGAGACCUCUGAGUUUUUGAUUCUGGCCCCAAGUUGUGAUGUCUCUGAGCUGCUUUAAGGAUGGGUUUGUCUAAAGGUGCGAAGUCUCAGCUGCUUGGGGAUCUGUGCACAGGGUGCAGGUUUUCCAUUUGUCUGGGGACUUUAUCUGAAGGGUACAUGAUGUUUUUGAGUUAUUAAAAGUUCUCUUUCCGUUUAGGGUUUUUGCAUUAGGUUGGUAAGUGUCCGAGUGGUUUGGGAGUCAGUCUCCAUGGUGUGAAGUAUCUGUGCAGUUCUCAUUUGUUUCUGUCUUGAAGACUUUGGUCUGUUUGGAUGGUCUUUGUCACAGCGUGUAUGGUUAUGGUCUCAGCUGUGUUUGAGGGUCUGAGACAAGUUGUGUGCUGUCUGUGCAGAGAUUCAGUGAGCUCUUUUUGGUGUCUCUGGGUAUCUAUCUGGGCUGUCUGGAGUCUCUGUGUCAGAAAUAAAACCUCUUAUGUUCUUGACUGUGAUGUCUCUGUCCAGGAACUGAGGGUUUGGAAACUGGCAGACAUGAUUCCAAGACAUGGAACCUGACGUGCUGACUGUGUGUUGUUGAGCAUAUCAGUUGUCUCCUGGAAUCUCAGUAUGUAUCAUAAUUAAUACAGUGGGGCCAGUGCAUGUUUUGCAGGGUACCUGUGCAUGUUAGCGAUGUGUGCAAAGGGCCUCGCUUCAGACUAUCCUUCAGCAAAUGUUUUCUGAGCACCUUUCAUAUACAUGAGCACUGCUGGAGGAGUUUGUGACAGGACAGAACUGACCAAGUCUCUCCUUUCAUAGACUUGGUGGUCAGUAAAUAAAUCAAGGGUGGCAGGCACUAUGAAGAAAGAUAAUGCUAGAUCAGGGGAAAGGGUAUAUGUAGGUAUGAUGUUCUUAUUUUGUUCAAGGUAAGGAGGGAAAGUCUCCCUGAAAGAUGGCAAGUAAGCAGAGAUCUGGAGGAAGUGAGGGAGCAGGCUAUGGGGUUAUCUAAGGGAAGAGCAUUCCAGGCAGAAGGAACAACAAAUGCAACUGUCCUGGCAUGGAAAUCUACUUGGCGAGCUCCUGAAUGUCAAGGAGUCCUGCGAUGCACUGGGUUUGAGCAUCCGCAACUGUACCCUGUGUAAAGGCUGGGGUGAAGUGAGAAGACCCGGUGACUUUGGUGCCCGUCCACAGCUGGUGGCACACCAGGUCUGGAUAAGGGAAAUAUGUUAACAAGAGCAGAAAGACAUUUCGAGGAAUUGAAGGACACUUCUCUGCCUCUGCCCAUUUGGUAUCAAGACGGGUUCAAUAAACAACAGAAGUCUGGGAAAUUAAUCUUACGGGGAAAGGGAUAUGCUUGUAUUUCCCCAGAUGGAUCCAACAAACUUUUUCCUCGAAACAUGCAACCCAAGGGGGCCCCCGACAUUCAAAAUGGAGACAAAACGACAAGAACCCCGGGAGGAAGAAAUUCCAAUACGGGCCAUGGCGGCUCUAAAGAUCUCCAGAAAGCGCCGCCCUCGGCGGCAUCAACCCUAUGACCUCCCCUCUUGGGGACAAAUAAAAACCCUCACUAAUCAA